rnacentral:rRNA from 1 species
UGGGAAAAAAUCGUGCCAGCAGUUGCGGUUAUACAAAAAUUAAAUUAAAUUAUUUCAGUGUAUAAUAAAUAAAUAUUAAUUAAAAUAAAUAUUAAAUUAUUGGGUGAAAUUUUAAUUUAAUUAAAUUUUAUAUUAAUUUUAUGAAUUAAUAGAUUUUAAUAUAAACUAGGAUUAGAUACCCUAUUAUUAAAAAUUUAAAUUAUAAUACUAAAAUAGUAAAUAUAAGAUAUUGAAACUUAAAUAAUAUGGCGGUAUUUUAGUUCAUUUAGAGGAAUCUGUUUAAUAAUUGAUAAUCCACGAAUAAAUUUACUUAAUUUAUUAUUUUAUAUAUCGUUGUUAAAAAAAUAUUUUUUAUAAAAAAUAAUAUUUUAAAAUUAAAAUAAAAAAUUAAUUCAGAUCAAGAUGUAGAGUAUAAUUAAGAAUAUAAUGGAUUACAAUAAAUAUAUUUAAAUGAAUAAUUAAUUGAAAUAUAAAUUUGAAAGUGGAUUUAAAUGUAAUUUUAUUUAAUUUAAUAAAAGU